rnacentral:tRNA from 1 species
GCGGGAAUAGCUCAGUGGUAGAGUGUCGCCUUUCCAAGGCGAAGACGGAUGUUCAAGUCAUCCUUCCCGCUCCA